rnacentral:rRNA from 1 species
AACGUAGGAGACAAACGUUAUCCGGAGUUACUGGGCGUAAAGGGCGUGCAGGCGGUCGACUAAGUCUGGCGUGAAAGCUCUCGGCUAAACCGGGAGAGGUCGUUGGAUACUGGUUGACUAGAGGACGGUAGAGGCGAGUGGAAUUCCGGGUGUAGUGGUGAAAUGCGUAGAGAUCCGGAGGAACACCAGUGGCGAAGGCGACUCGCUGGGCCGUACCUGACGCUGAUACGCGACAGCAUGGGGAGCGAACGGG